UCAUACGGUGUACUUAUGAAAGAACAUGCGUUCAUUUCUGCUGAGUUUAUUUUGAGUGACAUUUCAACAGAAACAAGUGCGUAACGUGCGGAAGCCCUGGUGGAAGCAGCUCAAACGGAAGGGGAUCAAUCUCGGCAGCGGAAUGUCCGAAAAAUAUCGUUUACCGGCUUUACCAUCAACGUCGAGGAUGGCAAUGUUCUGGGCACCGUCACCGUUUCCAUGGAGCGACCAAACGUAUACAAGCACCACGAAGUUGGCGAAGGGAAAACCAUCAUUGUCCAUCCUCAAUCAACGAGCCGAUAACGAUCUUGGAUAAAAGAAACUCGGAGGGAAAUAUUCAACUGCCGAAAACUGCUAUCCGAGAUCCCGACAUCAAUCAACAAUCAAGAUCAUCAAGAACAAUUUCAAAAUUGGUUGACGGAAGUAAUCCGGCUCACGAGCAAUCAUUGAAAAAUUAAUGAAUAUAGUUAAUGGCGAGGUUAAUGCAAUCUAAUGGAAGAACGAUUAACCACACUCUGGAAUACAUCCAUGAAAAAGAAGGUAGAAGGGGACAUCUAAAAAGAUAAGUAUAAUUUCAAUUGUUUAAUUGCUUUAAAGGUGAAUCGUAUUUGGCACAGACUGACCUGUUAGACAUUUCGGUUAUACUAUGUUCGCAUUAGGGCAUUGUAGCAUGUUAUUCGGCUAUCUUGAUGACCUUUCUUUUGUCGAUAAUUUGAAUAACAUGUUAUUCAGGUCGUAGUGCGAACAUAGUAUUAGUUCAAGCACGCUUAAAGGAUUAUUUGUGAUUGUUUAGAUACUUGAUAUUCAGCAUUAUCACAAUAGCUCUAAUAAAUGGUCGCAAUGAUUGAAAUACCCAAAAAGGAAAAAAACAGCAUUGUCCGCUUCUAUGCGAAUAUUAAACAACCUAAGGCUAAAAGAUUAAGCUUAAGCGGAAAUUUUACCGAGGCAUUCAAUCAUAAAUUGUGGGACAAAAUUUAUCGUGUUUAGAUUUUUUAAUUUAAGGUGGCAUCCCGAGCAAAGCUUGAAAUCGAUAACUUGAUUUUGAUUACUCAGGUUGAUUAUUAUUUUGGUCGUUUUAACGAUUAAAAUAACAAAAUCUUACUGCGACAUCAAAUUGAAAACUAUUUCUAAACUGCAAAUUGAAAACUGAUUUUGAUAUUGGUUUUUGAUAACGAAAUAUGAGUUCAUAUAAUUUUGAAAUAAACUGCAAACUGAAAUCAAAAUAAGUAAUCAAUCACGGAGACCAAGAUUUGAAAAGAAAUUAUGAUUUCAAUUCGAUGUCUUUACCAAAAUAUGUUUUCUAUUUGCCCUCAUUAUUAUGUUAGACUUUACCCGGCAUGUGCAUUAAAAGGCAGUAAUUAUGAAGAAAUACUAAUCCUUUUUUCUUUUCUAUUUUAGUCUUCAACGCCAACAUCAUGACAUCCUUAGACAUUGAUAUGCUUAGAGCUCGAAUUCUCGGUUAGAACGCACUUUUUAAAAACAGCCAUAUGCUUUAGCUACUUAUACCUCAAACAUGACGAUUUAGUUGAUGAAGAAGUACCGCGAAGCUGCCAUUAGUAUACGAUACCAAAUUUUCAAAACGACAUAUCCUCGGACUUAUCUGCUUCGAAUCUGAUAGCACUUUCACGUAAACCAACGCACCAUCAACAGGUAGCAGAAACCCGAACCUAGGUAUUUAGGACGUAUGAAUCUUUGUUUACAAAAUCAGAUGAUUCGUUUUGAAAAUUUGGUAUUAAUUAGUUUAUUUUUUUUUUAUUUUGAAACAUGUUGAUUUUUUUUUUCAUUUUCGGAGCUACAACAUUAUUUCUUUUAACAUAAUUUUGAUGAUGUUUGGCAGUUAGCUUACUGGCAACUUAGUAAAAUCAUGUUUGGGGUGUUCAAUAAAAUGAUUUUAUAAUACAUUCAAGAUGAUGUUAUAAUACUCAAUACCCAUAAAAAACCAAAUUGAAGCUAUUCACUUUGAGAUAUAGGACAGAGGAUAGGAAAUAUGUGAAAUAUGUACUAACGACUGUUGGAAAACGUGUUUCCUUUUAUUCUUGAUAGCAAUUUUGAUUGUUAUUAAAAACUCAUUGAAAUUUCAUUAGGAAAACAUUGACAAAAAACAUGUAAAUCAUUUUAGCUGUAUUGAAGUAUAUACAUAGCUCGUUCACUCGCUCAUUCAUUCAAAUGAUAAAAACGUUCUAGUAUUUUUACAAGCUUAGUUGAUGUAGUUUUUACAUAUACUAGAGACAGACUGGUGGUAUUUGUACCACGAUUCAUGGGUAUUAUCUGUAAUGAUGACAAAAAUUGCUGUGCAACCGAAGAAAACGAAAGCUUGAAACAUGUCAAUGAGUGAGUCACAUGCAUUUAAAAGUCACCAGCCUUGUCACCAGCACACUCUGCAUCUCACUGGACUGGAAAUAGUAAUUUAUUGGAGCGGUGAAUUGUGUAGGGAUCCUGAAAGAUGAAGCAAAAGUGCUCGAUAAAGCCUAGCAGAUAGUAUAUAGUUUUAGCUUUGUGAAUGAUUGUGUUAUAGUUUCGUUAUAAUAAGUUUCGAGUCUGAAAUUGACCAACUGAGUCAGUUAUUUGGCAACAAGACAAGACUGUAUAACUUUCUUUAGUUUAGAUGUUCAGAUGUUUAAGUCAAGAAUAGAGGUAAUAAACUAUAGAGGAAGAUUGUCAGUUCCCUUUGUUCUAGUUCCCAAACUUGUUGGGUAUCGAAACGAACUGAUUUUUCCUUCGUUGACGCCUUAACCUUCGAGUGCCCUAACCACACCAGCAAAAGAUGUUUUGCCAGUGACGACUGCGACAAUCUUCCUCUAUAGUGUAUUGCCUCUAUUAAGUCAAGUGAUUUGCUCAAUUUAUAUGCAUAACUAUAGUUAUAUAUAGUUUAUAAACCUUGACAAGUAUGACUUAUUUUAUCUUAACGCAGUGUAAUUUGGUAUAUUUUGUAUUUAUAGUAAUUUGAAAAGAUGAUUUAUUAAUAAAUUUUAUCUCCUGGUUUAAAAAAA